UGAAGAUUAGUCGACCAUGAAGAUGCUGCUUCAGUCAUGAUGGUCAGUCGGCCAUGAAGAUGCUGCUUCGACCAUGAUGGUCAGUCGGUCAUGAUGUCAGUCGGCCAUGAAGAUGCUGCUUCGACUAUGAUGGUCAGUCAGCCAUGAAGAUACUACUUCAGUCAUGAUGGUCAAUUGGCCAUAAUGGUCAGUCGGCCAUGAAGAUGCUGCUUUGGCCAUGAUGGUUAGUCAGUCAGGAUGGUCAGUCGAUGAUGAAGAUGCUGUUUCAGUCAUAAUGAUCAAUCGAUCAUGAAGAUGUUGCUUCAGCUAUGAUGGUCAGUCGGUCAUGAUGGUCAGUC
rnacentral:lncRNA from 1 species